GAAGCCGGUGGUCAGCUCGCUCCCCGGCCACCCGCCAGUCCGCCCCCGCUCCCGGGGUCGGUGCGGGAGCGCGCGCUGAAGGCGAUGCCUGGGGGCGCGGGCCCCUUUCCGCCCUCCGGACCUUCAACUUUGUCAGCCUGGACUUCCUGGCCUCGAGGACCUUCUGGCCCCUUUUUGCCAGGUUUCCCGCUCUGAAUCACCAUUUAAGAAGUCCAGGUACCCUGCUGGCCAGAUGAAGUAGAGAGACGGAACACACAGGCCCUUAGACUACACGGAGAGAGAGAAGCUUGACUGUCCCGGCUGACCCCACCUCAGCUGACCUGCCAGCUGAAUGCAGCUAUAUGGGCCACCAGCAAGACCGACAGAACCGCCCACUGAGCCUGCCAAGAAUACAGAACCAUGAGCCACGAGCCAUAGUUGUUUCAAGCCACUUAGUUUCGGGUAGUUUGUUAAACCGCAGCGAAAGACCGAAACAGGGUGCAAGAUAACAUCACACACAGAAGACCUGGGAAUUAAACAUUUGUUGGGGGCAAAAAACUAUUUUUCAGGGGCACCUGGAUGGCUCAGUUAACCACCCAACUCUUGAUUUUGGCUCGGGUCAUGAUCUCACAGUUUGUGAGUUCAAGCCCCGCAUCAGGCUCUGUGCUGACAGCUUAAAGCCUGGAGCCUGCUUCGAAUUCUGUGUCUCCCUCUCUCUCUGUUCCUCCCCUGCUCGCACUCUGUCUUUGUCUCUCAAAAAUAAAGAAAGAUUAAAUAUAUUUUUUAAAUAAAUAAACUUAAAAAAAAUUUUUUUUAAGUAUUUUUCAGGGGCGCCUCAGUGACUCAGUCGGUUAGGCAUCCGACUUCCGCUCAGGUCAUGAUCUCACGGUUUGUGAGUUCGAGUCCCGGGUCGGGCUCUGUGCUGACAACCUAGAGCCUGCUUUGGAUUCUGUGUCUCCCUCUCUCUCUUCCCUUCCCCUGCUCAUGCUCUGUCUCUGUCUCUCAAAAAUAAACAUUUAAAAAAAUUAAAAAAUAAAAAGUAUUUUUCAAUUCUUUUUCUUA